AACGAACGCUGGCGGCGUGCCUAACACAUGCAAGUCGAACGAGAAAGGGGCUUCGGCUCCGAGUCAAGUGGCGCACGGGUGAGUAACACGUGGGUAACCUGCCUCUAAGAUUGGGAUAACUCGUCGAAAGAUGAGCUAAUACCGAAUAAGACCACAGUUCCCGCGGGAACAGGGGUCAAAGGUAGCCUCUGCUUGCAAGCUAUCACUUAGAGAUGGGCCUGCGCACCAUUAGCUAGUUGGUAGGGUAACGGCCUACCAAGGCAAAGAUGGUUAGCUGGUCUGAGAGGAUGAUCAGCCACACUGGAACGGAGACACGGUCCAGACUCCUACGGGAGGCAGCAGUGGGGAAUAUUGCGCAAUGGGCGAAAGCUUGACGCAGCAACGCCGCGUGAGUGAUGAAGGCCUUCGGGUCGUAAAGCUCUGUCGGGAGGAACGAAUGCUCCUGAGGUUAACAGCCUCGGGAGGUGACGGUACCUUCAAAGGAAGCACCGGCUAACUCUGUG
rnacentral:rRNA from 1 species